rnacentral:tRNA from 13 species
AAAAUCCGUUGGUUUCACGGGACCGUGAGGGUUC